UCCAUGGUAUUACCUGAUGUUGGGGUUCCAUCUUCCUAUUGCUAUCCAGGAAAUAAUCUCUGGGCAGAUGUGGAACUAUGAAUUUAUUCUACCCGUCUUCCUAUAGUCUGUUCUUCGAAAGUCGCACUUAUCGAACUUUUGUGAUGCUGUUCUCCAACCAAACCAAGAAAACGUUCUCUGCAGCAGAAAGAAUCAGCGGUGCAAGAGCAGCAUGGCGGUGGGCGUCGCCUGUCGCCUUAAUGUGAAACUCCACCGCAUCACGUCAAAAAGUCCAGUUGAUACUGUGAUGUCCCGGUUUAUAUAUAAUACUGUAAAUAUGGACUGAAGAAGCGGAUUCACUCACUCACCCACCCCUGAAACAUCGUCGGAGAAAUGAUGAUGGUACUCACUUUAAUCGCAGAAUACAAGGAGACACCAUACAUCUUCUUAUAUUCAUCUCGAAUAUCCAAAAGGUCAAUUUCGGACCUGGACACCAGAAUUCUGUUCAGUGUGAAUUCAUCAGUCCCAGCUCCCUAUCAACAAGAAAAGGGUUUUUUAUUAUUAUCUGUGCUUCAGAUUUAUAGACCGCCGCUGUAUUUGAAACACACGGUAUUUAUGAUGUUCCCUAACAACCAUGAUGGCAACUUUUUGUCCAUCCCACCCUCUGGGUGCUGCUUAUCUCUGACUGUUGGCCAUGCUGCCUGGAGCCGAUGGGAGUCCAACAACGUCUGGAGGGCCCUAUACGGGAUCCUCACGCCUGAGUGUGAGGAACCAUCAGACUGACCCACUAUCAGGCAGCUUCUGGCAUUCCUACCUUCAAAGACUUGUGCAGCCUUUCAGCAAAGAAUGCAGGAGUGCUGGUCACACAUUUGACUGUCAAAAGAAAAAGAAAAAAGGAGUUAACAGUUGACCCCAUGUACCGUACUGCUUUCUCUCUGCUAGGCAAGCUAUGAAUGAGUGCAAAGUUUUUUUAGAAAUAUUAUAGGGCAUAUAGUGGAGCACUUGUUUCCAAUGCCUUUGGCAGUACUUUUUCUUAUCAGUGCCCCCUUGUGGGUAGUUGUGUUAAUUACAUUUGCAAAACAGUUUCUGCAAGAUUCUUUGAGAUGAACUCAUCUUCUGAAUCCCACAAAAAUGUAAUUUAAUCUUCUUGCAAGUAUGAAACUGGAUUUUUGGAGCUACGAAAUGUGCUCCAAAAUUAAUCAACGCAAUGGCAUAGUAAGAACACCACCACUUGUUAUAAAAGCAGGGAAGGGCAUAGCUCAGUGCAAGAGUACCUGCCUUGCAUAGAGUUUUUGUUAAGAGUUUUUGUUAGAUGUAUAUUGUAGCAGAGUGCAGAAAUA